rnacentral:rRNA from 1 species
UGGGGGAAUAUUGGGCAAUGGGCGCAAGCCUGACCCAGCAACGCCGCGUGAAGGAAGAAGGCUUUCGGGUUGUAAACUUCUUUUGACAGGGAAGAGUAGAAGACGGUACCUGUCGAAUAAGCCACGGCUAACUACGUGCC